UAAAAUUUAUAAAAUUAGGUAGUAAAGAAAUUUCUGAAACCUAAAGAAUUUGGCGGUAUUUUAAAUAAUUGGAGGAACCUGUUAUUUAAUUGACAACCCACAACAAAUCUUACCUAAAUUUUAUUUGUAUAUCGUCGUUUUUGAUAAUAUUUCAAAAUUAUAAUCAAUAAAAAUAAAUUUUUUAAAAUCAGAUCAAGGUGCAGUAUAUUUAGGUCAUAAUGGGUUACAAUAUAAUUAUAUAUAAUGGAUAUAAAAUUGAAAUUAUAUUGAAAGUGGAUUCAAAAGUAAUAUUAAAUUAAAAUGUUAAUUUGAUUAAAAAUUUAAAAUAUGC
rnacentral:rRNA from 1 species